rnacentral:rRNA from 1 species
CUAGAGAUUCUUGGUCAUUUAGAGGAAGUAAAAGUCGUAACAAGGUCUCCGUAGGUGAACCUGCGGAGGGAUCAUUACUGAAUGGCCCUGGGCCUUCAACCUUACAAACCUGUGGAAGCAACAUGUGCUUCGGCGCCUUUGGCGUCGCAUUUAUGCUGCAAUAAGCCCAUGUGUCUGAAUCAAAUACAAGAAAUAAAACUUUCAACAAAGGAUCUCUUGGCUCUCGCAUCGAUGAAGAACGCAGCGAAGCGCGAAAUGUAGUGUGAAUCGCAGAACAUCGUGAAUCAUCGAAUCUUUGAACGCACAUUGCGCCUCCAGUAACUCGGAGGCAUGCCUGUCUGAGCGUCAUUUAAAACAAUAGACCCGUUUGGGUUUGUAUUGGGCGUCGCCUCCUGGCGUAGCCUCAAAGACAUUGGUCUCAUACGUGGACGAGCUCCUUUAGGACAGACCAUGUGGAGACUUUAAAACAUCUGACUUGACCUCAGAUCAGGUAGGACUACCGCCUGAACUUAAGCAUAUCAAUAAGGCGAGGAACAGAAACCAACAGGGAUUCCCCUAGUAGUGGCGAAUGAAGCGGGAAAAGCUCAAGUUUGAAAUCUGAUGGGCUCGCCCCCUCAGAGUUGUAAGCUGAAGAGGCGUUGACCGACGUUGUCCGGGCCCAAUUUCCUUGGAACAGGAAGUCAUGGAGGGUGAGAACCCCGUCUGUGGCUCGGAGCCUUCGUCCUUGUGUCAUGUCCUCGAAGAGUCGGGUUGUUUGGGAAUGCAGCUCAAAAUGGGUGGUAAAUUCCAUCUAAGGCUAAAUAUUGGCGAGAGACCGAUAGCAAACAAGUAGAGUGAUCGAAAGAUGAAAAGAAUCGUCGACCUGCAG